rnacentral:rRNA from 1 species
UAGGGGAUCUUCCACAAUGGACGCAAGUCUGAUGGAGCAACGCCGCGUGAGUGAAGAAGGUCUUCGGAUCGUAAAACUCUGUUGUUAGAGAAGAACACGAGUGAGAGUAACUGUUCAUUCGAUGACGGUAUCUAACCAGCAAGUCACGGCUAACUACGUGCUAG